rnacentral:rRNA from 1 species
AUACGUAGGGGGCGAGCGUUGUCCGGAAUGAUUGGGCGUAAAGGGCGCGUAGGCGGCCCGGUAAGUCUGGAGUGAAAGUCCUGUUUUUAAGAUGGGAAUUGCUUUGGAUACUGUCGGCUUGAGUGCAGGAGAGGUAAGUGGAAUUCCCAGUGUAGCGGUGAAAUGCGUAGAGAUUGGGAGGAACACCAGUGGCGAAGGCGACUUACUGGACUGUAACUGACGCUGAGGCGCGAAAGUGUGGGGAGCAAACAGGAUUAGAUACCCUGGUAGUCCACACUGUAAACGAUGAAUGCUAGGUGUAGGGGGUAUCGACCCCUUCUGUGCCGCAGUCAACACAAUAAGCAUUCCGCCUGGGGAGUACGGCCGCAAGGUUGAAACUUAAAGGAAUUGACGGGG